rnacentral:rRNA from 1 species
GGCGAACCGUGCGAACGUUGUUCGGAUUCACUGGGCUUAAAGGGCGCGUAGGCGGGCGACCAAGUCGGGGGUGAAAUCUUUCGGCCCAACCGGAAAAGUGCCCCCGAUACUGGCCGCCUCGAGGGGGGUAGGGGCAUGCGGAACUUCCGGUGGAGCGGUGAAAUGCGUAGAUAUCGGAAGGAACGCCGGUGGCGAAAGCGGCGUGCUGGACCACUUCUGACGCUGAGGCGCGAAAGCCAGGGGAGCAAACGGG